rnacentral:rRNA from 1 species
UGAGGAACAUGACCUUCGGCGGGGAUAGCCGGCCCAACGGCCGGGUAAUAUCGCGCACGACCAUUUGGGGACAUCCUCGAGUGGUGAAAGCAGCAAUGCGCCGAUGGAGUGCCUCGCGGCCUAUCAGCUAGUUGGUGGGGUAACGGCUCACCAAGGCAACGACGGGUAGCUGGUCUGAGAGGAUGGCCAGCCACAUUGGGACUGAGACACGGCCCAGACUNUACCGGGAG